AACGCACCUUGCGCUCCUUGGUAUUCCGAGGAGCAUGCCUGUUUGAGUGUCAUAAAAAUUCUCAAUUCUUUCCUGGCUUUGUUGCAAAGCUUUGGUGAGGCUUGGAUUGUGGAAGUUGCUGGCUUUUUGGUCAGCUCUUCUGAAAUGCAUUAGCGAGAUUGUUGCUGGAUCAUCUCUGAUAUGAUAACUAUCUAUGUCAUUGAUCAAGCCGGCAUUCCUACUUUUGGGAAAGAAUUUUGCUUACAACUGGUGUCUUCAGAGACACAAAAUAAAUGAUCAUUUUGACCUCAAAUCAGGUAGGACUACCCGCUGAACUUAA
rnacentral:misc_RNA from 1 species